UGAGGAGCGAAAGCGUGGGGACCGAAUAGGUUUAGAUACCCUGGUAGUCCACGCCGUAAACGGUGGGUACUAGGUGUGGGUUUCCUUCCUUGGGAUCCGUGCCGUAGCUAACGCAUUAAGUACCCCGCCUGGGGAGUACGGCCGCAAGGCUAAAACUCAAAGAAAUUGACGGGGGCCCGCACAAGCGGCGGAGCAUGUGGAUUAAUUCGAUGCAACGCGAAGAACCUUACCUGGGUUUGACAUGCACAGGACGACGGCAGAGAUGUCGUUUCCCUUGUGGCCUGUGUGCAGGUGGUGCAUGGCUGUCGUCAGCUCGUGUCGUGAGAUGUUGGGUUAAGUCCCGCAACGAGCGCAACCCUUGUCUCAUGUUGCCAGCACGUAAUGGUGGGGACUCGUGAGAGACUGCCGGGGUCAACUCGGAGGAAGGUGGGGAUGACGUCAAGUCAUCAUGCCCCUUAUGUCCAGGGCUUCACACAUGCUACAAUGGCCGGUACAAAGGGCUGCGAAGCCGCGAGGUGGAGCGAAUCCUUUAAAGCCGGUCUCAGUUCGGAUCGGGGUCUGCAACUCGACCCCGUGAAGUUGGAGUCGCUAGUAAUGGCAGAUCAGCAACGCUGCGGUGAAUACGUUCCCGGGCCUUGUACACAC
rnacentral:rRNA from 1 species